rnacentral:rRNA from 1 species
UACGAAGGGUGCUAGCGUUGUUCGGAAUCACUGGGCGUAAAGCGCGCGUAGGCGGCUUUCCAAGUCAGGGGUGAAAUCCUGGGGCUUAACCCCAGAAUUGCCUUUGAAACUGGAGAGCUAGAGUACUGGAGGGGUUGGCGGAAUUCCUAAUGUAGAGGUGAAAUUCGUAGAUAUUCGGAAGAACACCAGUGGCGAAGGCGACUUACUGGACGACUGUUGACGCUGAGGUGCGAAAGCGUGGGGAGCAAACAGG